AGCGGCGGCGUAGCGUCGGCCUUGAACCAUGAACCUGGACGCCGAGAACCGGGUGGUGCUCAACGUGGGCGGCAUCCGGCACGAGACGUACAAGGCGACCCUGAAGAAGAUCCCCGCCACGCGCCUUUCCAGGCUCACCGAGGCCCUGGCCAACUACGACCCGGUGCUCAACGAGUACUUCUUCGACCGACACCCGGGCGUCUUCGGACAGAUCCUCAACUACUACCGCACCGGGAAGCUCCACUAUCCUACCGACGUCUGCGGGCCUCUCUUCGAAGAAGAACUUGAGUUCUGGGGUCUGGACGCCAACCAGGUGGAACCCUGUUGCUGGAUGACCUACACUCAGCACAGGGACACCCAAGAGACCCUUGCGGUCUUGGAUCGGCUCGACCUAGACACAGACAAGCCAAGUGACGAAGAGAUCGCUCGCAAGUUCGGCAUGGAAGAGGAGUACCUGGCGGGCACGUUGUCCUGCUGGCAGCGGGUAAAGCCCAAGAUAUGGUCGCUGUUCGACGAGCCCUACUCGUCCACGGCGGCCAAGGUGAUCGGCGUCAUGUCCGUGUUCUUCAUCUGCGUGUCCAUUCUGUCCUUCUGCCUCAAGACCCACCCCAACAUGCGGGUGCCGGUCAUCAAGAACAUCACCGUGCACACGUCCGACAGCUCCGUGGCCUGGACCCUGGACAAGAUGCAGACCAACCCGCACGACGCCUUCUUCUACAUCGAGUGCGUCUGCAACGCCUGGUUCACCUUCGAGAUCAUCAUCCGCUUCGUGGCUAGCCCCAGCAAGCUGGACUUCGUGCGCGGAGCCGUCAACAUCAUCGACUUCACGGCCACCCUCUCCUUCUACAUCGACUUCACCCUGCAAAAGCUCGCCUCGCACCUGGAGAACGCCGACAUCCUCGAGUUCUUCUCCAUCAUCCGCAUCAUGAGACUGUUCAAACUUACGCGCCACUCGGCGGGACUCAAAAUCCUCAUCCAGACCUUCAAGGCCAGUGCCGGGGAGCUCAUCCUGCUUGUGUUCUUUCUCGUGUUGGGCAUCGUUAUCUUCGCCAGCCUCGUCUACUACGCCGAGCGCAUCCAGUCCAACCCGGAGAACGACUUUAACAGCAUACCGCUCGGCCUCUGGUGGGCGCUAGUGACGAUGACCACCGUCGGCUACGGCGACAUGGUGCCCAAGACGUACGCCGGCAUGUUCGUGGGCGCCCUGUGCGCGCUCGCCGGCGUGCUCACCAUCGCGCUUCCCGUGCCCGUGAUCGUGUCCAACUUCGCCAUGUUCUAUUCGCACACUCAGGCGCGGGCUAAAUUGCCCAAGAAGCGGCGACGCGUCGUGCCCAUCGAAGUGCCCAGGGGACCGCACCGCAGGCCCCAAGACCUAAAGAAUCCCAAGGACGCCUGCAAGCCGGGGAGGCAGCAGCAGGCCACGGGAGACGUCGCCGCUCCCCGGAGGAAUCAGACGCUGCGCUCAAGGGGUCCAGGCAACGGCGAAGAGUGCGUGCCCAUGCUGAUGCUGAACCAUUCGGAAACCGAGGCACCGGCGGCCAGCCGGCUGCACCGUAGGACCAGCAGCAACGCCGCCAGGCUGCUAGAGAUGGGCGCCUCCAGCAUCUCCUCCGCGGCCAACGUGGCGUGCAGCACGGGCGCCGACGGCAGCUCCUCGGCGGUGAAUCCGGCGUCGACGACGGCCAACCUGAUCCAGUUCACCGAUCUGAUGCACCGCGGAAGCACGCCAUCGGCCUCCGUCAAGAUCAUCGCCACCAAGAUCGAAACGUGAGGACCGGCCCGCGCUAGCCACGCCCGACGCGCCAUCGUCAUCUCAUCGCUUUCACUUCAGUGGGCCAACCGCGCAACAACAAAACAACUGAGGAGGAGCUUGGACUAGUUAUGCAAUGCAAAUACGGUGUGCGCGUGUACAUAGACAACCG
rnacentral:misc_RNA from 1 species